ACUUUUGUGAAAUCGGUUGUUUAAGUUAACAAUAUAUGAAAAUGAUUUCUACAUGGGAUAUGUUUAAGAAAAAUGACACUAAAAAUAGCCUCCAUUGAUGGAUCGAAAAUGAAUAAUUCUCAUACUAUACUAUAACUAAUGGUUGUAGUGGAAUGGCAUGAAAUGAUCGCGUCAAGGUUGAGGUCUUGUUAUUGAAUCUUACAAGAACUACUCUUAUUCCUAAAUAUAUUAUUAGGUUGUCUAUGCACUACAAGAAAUUUAGGUAUACGUGACGAUUUUAUCGUGACCUUCUAACAAAUCAUCAUAGAAUUUAUUCAUCUAUGACGGUUUAAAUCUAAGGUGAUGAAUAUAUGACGAUUUGUUAAAUUAUUGUCACAACUGGACGUCACAGAUCAUUUUGGUCAUCCAUAACAGACUCAUUGGAAGGUCACACAUCCAACAUUCAACACACUAUUAAGUGCUAUCAGUGUGUCGUAAGAGGGGACAUUAGCGAUUUAUUUAGAUUACCGGUCCUAAAUAAUUUGAUAGCUAUAGCUAAACUCUAAACUUUUUGGUUAUUCCCUAAAUAAUUAAGUACAUCAUAAUCCAAAUUUUGGUUAUCACCUAAACAAGUGGUCCAGGGUAUUCAAAAUUUGGUUUUAUCUGUCACUAUUUUAUUACUUCAAUAGCUAAGAAAAAAAUAAUAGAAGAAAAAAGAGGCACCCUGAACAGAAGUGCGUGCGCUGGAAAAAUUUUGGCCUUUGGCGGGCAUUCUGAAUACACUGCGCACCCUGAAAAUUUUGCGGCGAGCGGUCUUCCCACCUCCAAUUUUUAGCUACGAAUUUACCAUUAUGCCCCCACUCCAUGCAUCCCGCAAAUGAAACAAUGGGUAUAUUUUGGUAAUAUCACAGUGCCAUAUAUAAUGUAGCUCCACCGUCUCGCGGGCAACAGUGCCACCAAAUCCCCCCAAUCCUCCAAUUCGCACAACCAACGCCGCCAACCUCGAUCGCCCCUCAAUCCACUGAUUCCUCCACCACCACUUUGCCAUCCUGCUCCGUCGCCCAGCAGCCUACAAGCGCGUCGAGCGUGACCGCCACCAUCCCGCAGCCACCACCGACGUCAUCGAAGAAGAGGACGAGCGGUCGAGCGUCACCGCCACCACCGAUGUCGCCGAAGAAGGGGGGAAGGAAACCACCGAAGGGGGCAUGGCGAGGAGAGCAUGUUGAAGGUGCUGCUGAAUUCCAAAAGGUCACAGGGAAACCCGAUUUAAGCAAUAAUGGCAACAGAGUACUUCUAUCCUUGCCUAGCCACCGGCUCGGUCGCUCGGGAUACUGGCAUCAAAUUUGACAGCGAUUUUGGUGAAGAUAUCAAAUCCCUUCAAUAAAGACCUACAUCCACCAUGUUGUAUAAGUGGAAACUUCAAAUAUUUUUGGUCGAAGUGCUACCUGAAUGCUUUCAAAGACCCUUGGUCAAAAUGCUACCUGAAGGCUUGUUGAGAACACCAUCUUGCUGAAGGACUAAAGAUUGACAAAUAAACAAAGAUGUUUGUGACGCUAUAUGUGAAUUGCGGAAAGAGGAUCAAGGUGCUCAUGGUGGCUAUUUUCAUUAGUCAUGAAAGAUUUUGUUGUGCGAGCAAAUCAUACGAGUUAUGUGUUGUACAAGUCAACAUCUUAGUUUUGUAGAUACUUGAGUGUAGCUUGGUUAUUGACUUAGUAUUUCGUGUGAAAUAUUGUACAAGUACAAAUGUUGAUAGUUUCAAUAAAAAUGAUGGGCAAUAUUUGUCAAUUA